AUUUUAGUCUAAUAUCCAAAUGGGUUAGAAAAAUAAUUUACAAAAUAAUAAUCUUUUUAAAGUGUUUGAGGAGCCUGAAGAGCCUAUUCCAGAAGAGGAGAUCCCAGAGGAAGCACCUAUCGUAGAGGAGGUUGAGGAAGAGGCGCCACCUAGAGUGCCCGAAGUGGUUAAGAAAGCAGUACCUGAAGCACCUACUCCUGUUCCUAAAAAAGUGGAGGCGCCACCAGCUAAAGGUAUAACAAAUCCUUUUACGAAAGAUAAUAAUAUCUUUAAAUUCUUAUCCAUCUU
rnacentral:lncRNA from 1 species